GACGAACGCUGGCGGCGUGCCUAACACAUGCAAGUCGAACGGAAAGGCCCUGCUUUUGUGGGGUGCUCGAGUGGCGAACGGGUGAGUAACACUUGAGUAACCUGCCCUUGACUUUGGGAUAUCUUCAUGCAACUGGGGCUAAUACCGGCUAGGAGCUCCUGCUGCUUGGUGGGGGUUGGAAGGUUUCGGCGGUUGGGGAUGGACUCGCGGCUUAUCAGCUUGUUGGUUGGGUGGUGGCUUACCAAGGCUUUGACGGGUAGCCGGCCUGAGAGGGUGGCCGGCCACAUUGGGACUGAGAUACGGCACAGACUCCUACGGGAGGCAGCAGUGGAGUAUAUUGCACAAUGGGCGGAAGCCUGAUGCAGCAACGCCGCGUGCGGGAUGACGGCCAUCGGGUUGUAAACCGCUUUCGCCUGUGACGAAGCGUGAGUGACGGUAAUGGGUAAAGAAGCACCGGCUAACUACGUG
rnacentral:rRNA from 1 species